UACGGAGGUGGCAAGCGUUGCUCGGAAUCACUGGGCGUAAAGGGCGCGUAGGCGGGGAGGUAAGUCGGGUGUGAAAUCCCUCGGCCCAACUGAGGAACUGCGCUUGAGACUGCUUCUCUUGAGUCCCGGAGAGGAAGAUGGAAUUCCCGGUGUAGCGGUGAAAUGUGUAGAGAUCGGGAGGAACACCGGUGGCGAAGGCGGUCUUCUGGACGGUGACUGACGCUGAGGCGCGAAAGCGUGGGGGAGCAAACGGG
rnacentral:rRNA from 1 species